AACAGAUAGGAAGUUACAAAUAUAAAUUGCACUUUCAAUAUAUCUAUCUAUCUAUCUAUUGGCUAAUUUCAAAAUUUUAAUAAAUAAUACUGUACUUUCUUAAAGGAUAAGAUUAUAAUGACGACUUUAAAAUUACUUCUUUAAAUUCCACGAAUUGAGGAUCUUAAAAUAUCUCACCACACAGGGAGAUGUCCUAUAUUAAUUAAAAUGGCUUCGUCUCUGAAAGCUCUGCAAGAGACUCACAAACACUGAGUAUUAGUUAUUUUAUAGGUUUAAACAGGCCAUAUUCAGCAAAUACCCAACCAACCUGGAAACGACGAUAUCCAAGAGGAGCCUGAAAA